AACUGAAAAUCUUCUGAGAUGACCUCUACCUAUUAAUUAGUUUUGAAUUAUUUUCAUGAUUUGGUUCUCAAGGUUAAUACAGUAAUGCAUUUAUUGAUUUAUGUCUUCUGAUUCCCGAUCUUCUGUUAUGUGUCCACUGAUGCAGAUGACUUGCCAUUAUGGGGUAUGUAAUCACUAAACCCAUGGUCAUUAUUUCUGCUGUGUAUUUCUAUGUCUGUUUUUUAGUCCGUUCUUGUCAUUUUCCCUUACAGGCUUUGUGGGGGAGUUGCAUCCUGAUAAGAACAGUGACAGUGGCAAGCAUGUUCUGUACACUCAUAAGACUAUUACAGUUAAAUAUAAUAAAAAUCAGGUUGGUGGUUUGCUAGUAAUCAGGUUGGCGGUUACUAGUUGAAUUCUUUUUUCGGAAAGUUAUUUAUUAAUGUGGAUGCUGAAGUGUCUAUUCUUUCAGAUAAUUCAUGUCAAUCUUACUCAAGAGAGUGCCAAACCUCUUGAACCAGGGAGAAGUUUGGAAAUGACAUACUCUGUCAAAUGGAUUCCGACUAAUGUUUCUUUUGCUCGUCGCUUUGAUGUCUACUUGGAUUACCCUUUCUUUGAGCACCAGGUAAUUCUGGUGUUGGGCUUGGAUGUUUGGUGCUGAUCCGUAAUAAUGUUGGCAUGCUGUAUUUGAGACUAUAUUCAUCCUAUGUCUUUUUAUGUUGGUUUCAAUUAUUUUAUUACUGAGAUAUUUUUCCAUGCAGAUCCAUUGGUUCUCCAUUUUCAAUUCUUUCAUGAUGGUCAUCUUUCUCACUGGGCUGGUCUCUAUGAUAUUGAUGCGUACUCUGAGAAAUGACUAUGCAAAGUAUGCUCGAGAAGAUGAUGAUCUGGAGUCUUUGGUGAUGCCUCUUUAAAUUCUAGUUUUUUAGUUGUUGAUAAUGCUUCAUACUUCCUGAAGAAUAGUAUUUCGAUAAAUUAGGAAGAUUUUUUGUUUAAUGCAGCUUUUUCUUUUUCCUGGCAGCUCAAGUUGUAUGCCCUAACAUGCCCAGUUUGCUACGUACUCUAAUAUUGUAACAGGAAAGAGAUGUUAGCGAAGAGUCUGGCUGGAAGCUUGUCCAUGGAGAUGUUUUCCGCCCAACUCGCAAUUUGGCUCUUCUGUCAGCGGUUGUUGGAACUGGUGCUCAACUUGUGCUGCUUGUGCUUCUUGUCAUCUUAUUGGCUAUUAUUGGCAUGCUGUAUGUUGGGUAUGUGCUGAUUCUUCUUAAAAGCUAAAUUUUCUUUGCAACCUGUGGGGUAUGUGAGUUGUGCUCAUGUUUCCUCACCUUUAGUCCAUUAUGUUACCGGUAUAUGUCAUUUGUGAUCAGUCUACUGUUUAUCUUGAUGGGAAGGAGCCAGCAUCUUUUAGUCCAUUAUGUUUGUUUCUGCUAUAAGUUCUGGAAAAGUCAUUGACUAUUUUUUUUGUCUCUUUAUGGUUCUUGUAUGGCACAUGUUCUUAUUUGAUAAUGCAAUGCAGGAGAGGAGCAAUUGUGACGACUUUCAUUGUAUGCUAUGCUCUUACUUCGUUCAUUUCUGGUUAUGUUAGCGGAGGGAUGUAUUCCCGCCAUGGAGGUAAACAUCUAUAUCAUUUAUGCGUCUCCUUCACUUGUCCUCUAUAUUUAAUGUGUUUUUAAUGAGGCUCGGUAUGUGAGUUUCAGGUAAAAGCUGGAUAAAAGCAAUGAUCCUCACAGCUUCUUUGUUCCCAUUUAUGUGCUUUGGGAUUGGCUUUGUUCUGAACACAAUUGCCAUAUUCUAUGGUUCCCUAGCUGCCAUCCCAUUUGGUACUAUGGUGGUUGUAUUUGUUAUCUGGGCAUUCAUAUCUUUCCCUCUAGCACUUCUUGGUACAGUUGUCGGCAGAAAUUGGUCGGGUGCUCCAAACAACCCCUGCCGAGUGAAGACCAUUCCUCGUCCAAUUCCAGAGAAGAAAUGGUACCUAACUCAAUCAGUAGUAUCAAUGAUGGGCGGACUGCUACCCUUUGGAAGCAUAUUCAUUGAGAUGUACUUUGUCUUCACUUCAUUUUGGAAUUACAAGGUGAAUAUUCCUCUCCCUCCUUAUCUUACAACUUUAGACAUCACUUUUUUUCGUAUUCUCUUGUUGAAAAAGUAUUUUAUUCAUGUUUGGCAGGUAUACUACGUGUAUGGCUUCAUGCUGCUUGUUUUCCUGAUUCUCGUCAUUGUAACUGUUUGCGUGACAAUCGUGGGGACAUAUUUCUUGCUAAAUGCUGAGAACUACCAUUGGCAAUGGACCUCAUUCUUCUCUGCUGCCUCAACUGCUGUGUAUGUAUACUUGUAUUCUAUUUACUAUUACUACGUGAAGACGAAGAUGUCGGGCUUCUUCCAGACCAGCUUCUACUUCGGAUACACUUUGAUGUUCUGUCUUGGCCUUGGCAUUCUCUGUGGUGAGUUCUUUAUGGUUAGAUCAUGUCCAUCAGCCUACAUUCUCAUGUAACUCACCUUGUUCCUUCCAUCAGUUAGCUUAACGAUGUUUAUGCUAUGGAAAGCUUUUUGUAGAUUACUGGUACUCUUAGUUGUGUAGUCAUUACAUUUAUCUGAUAGCAAGAAUAUCACUUUGGAGUAAAUAAUAAUAGCUUUAAUUAUAGGUUGCUAAAUGGGUGAGUUGGGCUGAAUCGAUCUGGUUAAUGAUUUAUCAAGGCUCGAAUUAAUCGGAUUACGGGCAAUCUGAUCACAGUUAACUUGACUUAUUUGCUCGAAAGAUUUCCGGAUUGGGCAAAUUGUGGGUUGCUUACUUUCAAUCAAUUUGAGUAAUGGAUCAGGGCUGAGCCAGGAUACAUCUCUUUGUAACACAUAUCUUUUGUUGUGCAGGUGCUGUUGGCUAUCUAGGCUCAAACUUGUUUGUUAGGAGGAUCUACAGAAACAUCAAGUGCGACUAGAAUCGGGCGGCCAGGCCGGACCACGAACAGGUAGGUGGCUUCUUGUGAGAACCACAAUAUUAGUUAGCAUCAUCCGUCGUAGGGAGAGAUUCACCGAAACGAAGCCACUAGUUCGACGAAUCAUGAACAAGGUUUUGCAGGAUGGGGGAACAUAGCUCUUCCCUGGAGUAGGGAAUUGCUUGAAGAGGUUUGCUCUUUUUGUUUGGCCCCCAUAUGUAAGUGAAAAGGUUGGUUUAAUUUAGAGACGAGAGAUUGUCGAUUCAGUCGUAUAACUGUGAAUCUUUAGAAUGAAUAUAUCUUGGGUUCUUUCUCUUCAUUUUUCAUUGAUUCUUUGCACCUUUUCACUUUCGAAUACCGGACAUUUUGGAGAACUACCGUCUGACCAUAGUAAUUCAGUUCCACGAUAGUAAUAAAGCUGGUUACUAUGAAUCGGAUUACCAUAAGUAGAACUUUGAAGUACUUGAAAUCUUGCUGUUUUGAGUUUACAGCAACCUCUGUUGCUCAAUGGUUUGAAUCCGUAUCGUUGAUGUCUUAUUCGAGGCACCUUUGAUGUUUGGAUAAGAAAUUCUCGAAACUCAACUUAUGAAAGGGUGCUGUUAUAUACCGUUUGUAUAAGAGACUUCGUACCAAAAUUUAUGUGACCGCAUUUACAGGUAAACAAGAAAUCACUCGAAUUUGCCAAAACAUCCAAAUAACAAACCUAAAACACUAAACAGACUUAGCUUAAGAUUCUGUCAUCAAAUAUGUUAGAAUUUAGUGAAGCAAACACUAGCCAAUCUUCAUACAUCUCUAUAAAAGAAAACAAUUGCUCCAACUUCUUCACUCCUUUGACAUUCUAUGAUUGAUCGUUUCGAAACAAGUCGAAUAGGGUAUCCACUUUCUGCUCACCCUCGUUGCGUUGUGCAUGAUUGACAUCAUCAAACCACUCAUCGUCACCCGUAACUGCUACAUUACUCGAAAAGUACUCUUCAAUCCUCCUAGAGAGGUCAUCAUGAUCAUCUACAGCUCAUUGUUCAUCGCCCGUCUCAUCGACUACGGUGAUCUCAUUGAGGGAGUUCGGGGACAAAGACCUGGAGGAGCGAGAUGCAACGGUGAUAUCCUCAUCCCCUUCGUCGAUGGUGGCAGUGUCGAGAGAGCACGCUGAUCGUGUGGCUAUCGACAUGGCAGCUUCGCGCUUCGACCUCUCCUUAACUCGCUUGCACCAGCUGUGUAGCGAGUCUCUUACGCUCUCGGAAACUAAGGCUUUCCUGCAGCUUGAUCCCAUCUGCCCGAAAGAUUACCGGUUUAUAAGACGGGAAUGAAAGUCUUGUGUAUGGCAGUUUUACAGUAGUGACAUCAGGAUGGUCAAAAACCUUUGACACGAAUUUUAAUUCUGAUGAUUUUUUUUCCGUAAACAAUUACGCAGGAUUUUGUCACUCCAUAACCCUGACUGGUAUUCGUCCACCAGGUUCCGGUAUUGCAUUUGUGUUAAGUUUAUGAAUAAUAGUUUGGUUGCUAUGCAAACCUGUGUGACAAGCACAUUUAGUGGUACUGUGCUGCGGCUACACCAGAACUGGACUACCACCCUGCAUAAAAGUAAUGACAGGAAAUCGUAAUUUGUACUAAAUUUUGCAAUAACAUUCCUUAAUCGGUAUUGUAGUAUCCUAUUGUUUUAGUUGUUAAGACAGUUCAAAGGAGGUAAUUAGAGGUUUAAGCAUAUACCCAGAAACUAAACGAAUGGUGAUCAUGUAAUGGUUCUUCAUGAAGCAGGAUCUUUGCUUCAGACCCCACUGCACCCACACAACACCAUGCGAGCCGGAACUCGCGUAAUUCUAAGAGCUAAGCAGAGACGAGAAAUGGUUACGGAAGACAAAGGAAUCGGCGGGCGGGAUGAUGGUACUUACCAAGGACCUGAUGAAAGUAGCCAUCUCAAAGGCAUUCUGGAAAAUGAUGAACUGAAUCAACCUCAACAGAAUGACUGGCUUGCCAAACCAGAACAAAUCAUCUCUGGGCUUGACUUGGUUCCCCACUGAGUGUGGCUGCUGCUCUGAUUGUUCUCCUAUCUCAAGUGCUAACAUCGACACAACGUGCUGCAGCUUCGUUCCCACCGCCAUUACAAGCUAGCUUCCCAAAAACAUUAUAUGAACAUCACAUAACUAUUAGGCUAAUUCUAAUUGAAUUACGUGCAUGUUCUAAAACUUUCAAAUGUUAUGUAUCGGUCAUGAAAUUGCUGUUUUGGGAGCAUUCUAUUAUUUUUCUCUGUUUCAGGAUUAGUAUGUAACAUUUGAAAGUUACGGUAUCGGUGCGUAACCCGAGCCAAAUUUAUGAGACCAUGCCCAGUUCAUCUGGCAACUUCAGCUGCCUUAUGUAUCAGUCCCGAAACUUCCAAAAGUUACAUAUCAAUAUGACCAAAUCUAGGACUUACAAUGGCGGGGAUGAAUGAGAGCCAGAAGUAGAUAUUAAGACCUGCAAAAACCAACAUGCAAAAAAAAAAAAAAUUAGAUUUAAGACCAAGAUUUUAUUUCGAAAUUGCUUUCGACAAAAAUCCCCACACGUCAGUGGUGAUUAUUUCACUGCGAUAGGAGAGUUAUACAAACACAAUAAAACCUUGAUGGGACUAGUUUACUUACAUAUGAACUGGCUCGACCUCGAAAAUUAAGGAUCAAAAGGAAAGACGAUGAAUGUUCAGUUACCGUGGAUGUUAACGAAGAUGCAGAUUAUUGCGUAGCCCCAAAGUGGCGGGCUGAUCCCCAGUAUGCCUUGAAAUUCAUCUUCCAUGCUACGCACCAUGUACUUGUGGAAAUUGUACGAAUGAGGCAAAUUGUGCUUCUGUAUAUUUUUUAGAAGUUCGAGAGAAUGAUAUAUCGAUAACCGGUAUUUUAAACUGGUUUUGUAUAGCAGGAGACAAAAAUUAAUCGGAAAUAAUCAAUUCAGACAAAAUUGGUACACAGAAAUUUACGAAUUUGGACUACUCUGCCUAAAAAUUGAUAGGUAGAAUUGUUCGAAUUGUAAAUUUUGUUCAAAUCUGUCUAAAUUUUGGUCAUUUUUGUGAAAUGUUGUACGGAAUGAUCAUAUUGUAUACGGACCGUUAUGAAACCCAAGCGUAAUGCCAAGUAGUCCGAUUUGUUCAUGGAGCUUUUGAACUGUCGAAAAAAGCAAAGCUACAAAAAUAAUAAUGCAAUUAGAGUGGGAACUUGAGCUAAUUAAGAAAAAUAAGUGACUAAUUGUGUGAUUAAUUAGAAUCGAGAUAGUGCACCAUCCAAAUGAGAACUCUGUUCUUGCUCCAUGGAUGAGAUGUGUAAUGGAAGAUGAAGGUGCUCUGCCUCCUCAUCAUCUUCUGUUGCUUGGCUUAAAAUAAAAUAAAUAAACGACUUAAGUCAUUGGAUUAGUCAAAUGAUCUACAUGUAUUCGAAAAGUUGAUGUUAGAUCUUGAUAGGCGGCGCAGAAAUGGACCGGAGUGAGCCAAGUUAGUCACCGCUCGGAGUCUAGCAAGUGGCGGAUACAUGAGGGUCUUCUCUAAUUAGGUCACGGUCCGGUAUAAUAAGUAUAACGUCACUAAUAGUGAAACCAAGAUAACCAAAGACUCUUCACGAAUUUUCAAAUUAUUAAAAAAUGAAGUAAGCACACAUGGAUCGGAUGGAAUUUCAUUCUUCUCGGGGUUAAAAGACCCUAGGCGGUGGCCGAGAUUCCCAUUCCGAUUUCGCUAUGGUUAAUAAUAAGUGAUAACACAAAAUAUUAUAAGCUUGUUCAAUUUUUGUACCUUGGACGUUAGAAUUACCCUCCAUGGUCAUGAUCAUGGGUUGAUUUUCCCAUUUUCUCCAGCUGUAAAUCUACAGUUUCACACAACAAAAUAACUCUACAACACCAAACUAAUUAAUGUUGUUUAAUUUCAUAGUUAAAACCAAAUGUAACCACCUUGGUCAUGGCCAGACCAACUGCCAAACAACUGUAGAGAACAUGAGUGAUGCCGAGAACGAACAAGACCGGUGAAGCUGCUCCAGUCCUUCCAACGACACGAAUGGUUCACGACCCUUAAUUUUCCAUCCACAAACCGAACAAAUUUAAUCGAGUUUGAUCGUGACUGACCGAAUCGAGUUUCACAACCAGUAGAAAAGUAGCUAGCUAGGGGGAUGACCUGACCACACUGAUGAGUACUAAUAGUAGGUAGUCCUCUGGGAUGAGCACCAUCAUUGUGCAAACUUUCAAGCAAGAGAUGAUGAUGAUGAUGAUUGUAACGUGCAACCGAUCCAGCAUCAACAUCUUCUUCUGAGCAAAUGUAGAAUUUACUGCUGAAAAGAGACUAAUUUACACAAAUCUCGGAUAUCCAUCUCGCCCAUUGCGCCAACGACAACGAUAUUAUCCCCAGCAGCAUCAGCUCUAGUAAUACAUUAGUUUGAACACAAAUUGUUAAGACGAAAAAUCGUUCCAUCCUACUAAUUCGAAAUGUUAGGAGAGAUUUCUAACAAAUUGUUAUACAAAGUUCAUAUCCGUCUUGCUACUCGACGGGUAUAUAUGAAAACUUAUUAAUUCGAGUUGUUGAUAAGAAAAAAGUUCAUGAUUGAUUUGCAUGCCUUCUUUUAUCUUCUCCAAAGAAACAUACAGAGCCUUUCUCCAAAGAAUCGAUGGAUGGCUCUCUCGCCGAUGAAGCAAACAAAAACAAGGACAGUGACCAGUGAGGCCACAAAGUAGGUUGGAGUUUCAGCUAGUGAUCUCCCUUGCCUAAUCAACACUUCAUCCAUUAUUCAGAGAUUUGCGUAUCGAAAAUCUGUGUUUCGAAGAAAAGAAAACAGAGAUUUUUUCUGCAGAGAGGGCUUAACUUAGUUUGAGUACAGACACAAAGGAAUGAUGAGAAAUAGUAGUGUGAAGGAUCCAAGUUACAUGGAAGCCACUAGCUCUGUAAAGAACAGUUUUUUCUUACUUUAAAGAUGAUGAUGACUAACUGUGGAAUCCUCCAUAACUGACUGAUCAGUGGUCAUCCCCAUGAAUGUAUUUUAAGUUUGUUUUAACCCAUGUUGCCCGAAUCGUACCGGAUGAACAAAAAUUUUCGAUUCAUGGUUAGAUGUUUGACCGGGCUCGAACCUAACCUUGAAAUAAGAAAGGGUGUUAGAUCAUGGCUCGGGAGAGCAACCCCCGAAUCGGCAUCGACAGUAGCUUAACCUUCAGGAUUGCACAACUCAUUGGUUCAUAUUCAUUGAUCAUAAGAGAUAGAUUACCCUUUUACUGUCCAGUUGAAUCAGUGAACCUUCAAAAUUGAUCGGAACAGUUCGAACGAUUAAGCGGUCCAAUCGUAACAAUACUGAGCCUAACCCUCUCUUGCACAUCACAUGGAUGAUGGCCAAAUGCCACUUUUUCAGUGGGAUUCAACGGUCUUCUCCUGAAUUCCUUCCCUUUUCUUUUUCUUCCAACUUUGGCUUUGUUGUUUAACUAUAUAUGUACCACGUGAAGCUCUUUACUUCACUUGAGCAAAAAUUCAACUCUUAUGUCCAAGUAAAAACAAAUAAGCUUGAGAAGGCUGGCCAUGAGUGAAACUUUCUUGAUCCGAUUUUUUGUCCUAAAGGUCAUGUGGAACCUGAAGCUAUAGGCCGCAUUAUUAUUUGAAGUCAAGGGCUCCGAGACUUCGCAUAGUGAGGAAAUGGUAGCGUGCAGGUAGAAAGCCAGAUAUAGUAAGAGGCACACUCCUAGGGUAGGAAUAGGAAAGGUUUCGAAAUCCUAUGAAAGCCUAUAGGGUAGGGGAAUUUGAAAGGUUUCUCGCUCAAUCCGAUCUUUAUUCAGUGCCAAGACCUUUAUAAGAUAAACAAUUAGUUAAAUUCAAUACAUUCGAUAUCCUUCACAUGGGUAGCUCCCGUCUCCUGUAGCCGCCUUGUUCUCUGUUAGUUCAUAAAGUGUCUGACACAUACGCAAAGUCAUGACAACCAGACUAGACUAAUAACGUUACAAGCAGCGUAAGGAAAAGUCUGAACGCUUUUCGCAAAGAUGCUGUUAGUUAGUCCCCUUCGACAAGAAAGUGAGAAAAACCGACGGGGAGUGAGUUCAUAAACAGGACUCUUUCAAACCUUUCUCCACUGGUGUGACGAACUAAGCAGUUUGCGAGCAUCUCAGUGUUAGCCUUGGGAAAAACUCAUUGGUGAUUCGGCUCGAUUUGAAAGGAGCAGUUUAAGUCAGGGUAUGUUCGACUCGAUAGGCUCGCAAGCUGGCUCGAGACCCAACUCGAAUGGUACUAACUCAAUAAUAUGACACAUCAGUAGACUCAAAUAAUAUAACACGUGUUUUGCCUCAAAUACCAUAUACAAAUAAAACAUAUGUAGAAACUUCUAAAUUUUAGGAUAGUUUGUUUUUUUAACUUGAUUUGUGGAUGUUUUUAGCGUACAAGCUUCAAAUUCAACUUAAAUUAGACCCUCCUUAGGUUUUAAUGAAUGAAAGUUGAGCUCGCAUUUGGGUCGUAAAUGGUAGUUAACGAGCUAUGUUCGAAUAGGCUCGAACUCGUCACAAGUCAAAAUUUUCUAGCUCGACAGCUAAAAAUUAACAAGCGAGCAUGGUGAAGUUCGGCUUGACCGGAUUCAUCAAACAGCCCUAAAUUCUCAUCAUACCUAAAUUCUCAUCAUAUGGGUUUGUUCUUGACCAUUGUACUCUUUGGCAGAAGAUAAAUUUGAAACAAAACCAAAGUCCAAAUGCUAGCUUCUGUAUUAUGAUCUUUUCUCUUUUGUACAAGACUUGUCCUUUCCUUUCUUUGCUUUUGUACAAACAUGAAAUCAGGAAUGUCCCAAGGUUCUCACGGAAUUUCAAGUUUAAAUGUCGAAUUCAUAUAAAAACCUUCAAUUUUAGUGUUUUACAUAAGGUCUCAUCGUUGUCGGAUCAAGGAACCCACCAGUUCCACCAGGCGAUCAAACAUCCGGUCUUGCUAGUUAGGUGGUUAGGGAAUCCGGGAGGUUGGUGGGAGAACCGAGGACCUUGCCCCCGACAUCGGGGAAGGAUUCGUGGCCGGGCAAUGCAGUGACUCUACCAUCUCUGCUGACCUGAAUAGGGUACUGCAUCAAGUGUCCUUUCAUCGGCAUCAUCUCUUCGGCGACAAAGGCCUUCCAGUUGCUCUUGGCAAUCUUGUUCACACUCUUCAUGCACUUGAUGCUCUGCGGUUCCCUGUAUUCUUCCUCCAACUCUCCCAUGUGUUCCGCCCACAGCGACAUCCGGUACCCGUAUAUCUGCAGAUUCAUGAUCGAAAGUGGCAUUAUUAUGGAAAAACAAGGGCGGAUUCAGGACCGAAAGUAACCGGCGGCCUCCCCGCUACAGUGCAUUUUGCAAUUUUGCAGAUAUAUAAGUAGUAAAAUGCACGAAAUGGCGCUUACAUUUGACGUGGUUAAUGUACACCAAAACGAUGGUCAAAUGUAACACAAGUGGUUAAUGUACACCAAAACUUCAAAUAUAAGUGACAUCGAGUGCAUUUUACUCUACAUGUUGUAUCCAGUAAUAGCACAAAUUAACACGUACUUGAUCCGAAAUCAAGCUACACAGAAAACAGUUCAUUUUGUAAAAGCAUACUAUACCUUAAAAAAACUCAAGAUGGAUCAAAUAACACUCAUACCAAACGACCUCACUUUCGCGAGUUCAAAAUUUGCCAGAACAGAUCAUAUUCAUACCUGGCUGCGGGGGUGAGACUGUUUGGCAGACCAUGUGUAAGCUGGCUGAUAAGCUCCCAUAGCAAUUUCGGUGUCCCUUGAUCCGUCUAAGGAUCUCUGGUUGAUGUUUGCAGAGCCUAUGAUCACGUACUCAUCGUCCACGAUCAUCCCUUUGGCGUGUACGUAUAUCAUGAAUCUUCGAUACUUUUGGGAUGCUGCCUGCACCCAAGUUAUAAAUCAUACAGUCGUCCCAGAAAUUCUGCUAUGACAACAGGCUCUUUUCUUACUUACCAAAGCACGGUUAUCAGUCUGGGGAUUCAAGUUGGAAGAAUCCUGAAUCUUGUCCUCUCUUUUGCCAAGGCAGAAGAAAUUCAAGUAGUCUUGUGGAUGGUAAGCCUCCAGCAACCCAGCUUUCUCAAGUGCAUUUGCUAUUAUCUUGUACAUCAUCAUCAUCGUUUGUCCCUGUUGCAAUGCAACCCUUACCGAUUACUCAACGUUUUUUUCACCAAUCCCUAAAAGUUUCGGUGACGGUAUUGGUAUUCUAGUUACCGUUUUAUGCGUUCUCGAAACCAUUUUAGCACUGCAUUUUCUUGUAAUGCAAGCCGCAUCAGUAAUAUCACAUACAUAACAUACGUGAUGCUAAAUUGCUAACUGAACAACAUCAAGUCCUGUUUUAAUUCUACUCCGGAUUGAUCUUCUCGGAGAUCAUACCCAACGUCACAUUCUUGUUGUUUUAAACCGCUCCCAACCAACUGUGUCCUAAAAAGAUAUCCUCCGUCUGCACGAUGCUUGAUAGUAUAACUAGUUAUUUUCACAUAUAACUAGCUAACUAUUAGUUAUACAACUAGUUAUUUUUAUUUCAUAAUUAGUUACAAAUUCCCGCCAGAAUAGUAGCCCUAGACUCCGUGGUAAAUUUAUCGAUGGAUCAAUGGAACACUUGGAAUUUAGGAUGAUGAGUGUUUGGGAUUACUGGUUACGAGGCGUUGCGUGUUGAUUUAAUUUCCGGUUGGUAAAAAAACUAGAUAGUAAAGUUUUGUUCACCUGCCAAAACAAGAUCUCCUGAACAGCAGCACUGGUAGGAGAACCCUCUGGCCACAUGGGUAUGACCACAUAAGCCGAGAACCGCUCGUUGGCAUUGAUCUUGCUCGCAAUUUUCAACGCUAUUUCCAUCGGUACUAGGUUAUCCGCACCUGGUGAUCAUCAAAACAAGCCAAGUUCGCAGCGGUUAAGAAGCUUACUACGUAAAAACAAGCCUCUCGACACACCCUAAUGGCCGUCCAUGUUCAAUAACACUACAACAGCCCCCCGAUACAGGAGAAAGAAGCAUCGUAUAGUAUUUCGUACCUGCAUUUUUGUAUGAUGGCCAACAGAAUGAAGAUCCAAGAAAAUAUUGGUUCUCUAUGUAUAUGAAGUGUUGAGCUGAUCUGAUUGCUUUGAUAUAUGCUGUAUGAAUACUUUUCUCUACUUUCAAGUUCUUCCCACAAACAAGAUUCUGUUCAAAAUGGUAACGAGAAAUUGUAGUUUAGUAUAACUCGGUCACCAAACUUCGAACCUCGACACAAUUCAGUACACUUAUUCGGCCCCAUUCCAUUACAAUUUCCAAGAAAUAUAUACCACUUUAAUUUGACAGUUCUAAUCUAACUAAAACCGAAAUAUGUCAUGUCAUGAGAAAUAAGUGACGUCGAACUUAUAUAAAGUGACCGGCGUACAACAACUAACCAAUGUAAUUAAGUGACAUUGACAUGGCUUAUUUAAUUGAAGCGACAGUAUGUGAUGUAAUAUCUAUGUAAACCGACCAGCUUGCGACAUCAAACUUAUGUAAAUUGACAUGGCAUGACACCUUAACGUGUCAUCUUUGACGAAAAUCGAAGUAGAAUGGGCCAAGAAAAUUGCACUGUAAGUAACCACAGAACAACUUAAUCCCAAGUUUAAAAGUAGGUGAUCAAAUUAAUAGAAAGUCUAAACUUAUGUGGCUACUAAAGUAUUCGCCCACCCGGCUAUAUACGAACCUGAGCAGCUGCUUCUCCAACGGCUUUUGGGAAGCCUCGAACCGAACCAGAAUCGAUAGAUCUGAAAACCUGUAUGAAACCCAUCAGAGGAAAAAUAUUGCAGAGACAGCAUUCAAUAUCCAACCCCUUUCACUUUCCGUAUCGAGACACAAAUAAUGUGACUUAUUAAUUAAAACAAUACUGCAGAGGUGGAUAGCGAUUGAUCAAACCUGUACAUGCCAACGCUCAGGAUCCGAUUCGUCACAAAUGUACACAUCCUUAUCGCCAUUGUCCACCGAGGGACUCAAUAUCCAGGAAAUCCGAUCCAGACGUAGCAAUGCAUCGUCGUGCCAAUGGGUGACCUUCUUCAGCCUGAAAUCCCUCCAUUUCUGAGCUUUCCUCCAUCUCUGUUCGAAAUUAGUCAAUAUGUCGUAAGCUGCCGGGCCUUCUAUCUUGCAGUGCAGAUCGUGCCACGGCUGUCGUGGACUCCUUGCAUUGGACUGCAAUAUUGCAUAGUGUUAUAUAUUAUUUUCGUAGCUUUCGGGCUUGGAUCGUAAGGUUCAUUCGGGCUACAAGUCACGCUACAAGAGUUGAUCGUUCGACUAUUACUUACUGGAAACGUUGGGUUGUGGAAGUCGUUAAGGAAGAUAGUGUCGAGAUCUUGAAACAUCCUGUGAUCAGGAGUGUCGUAUCUCCCGUCGCAUAGGUCCAAUCCGCCGAUGAAAGAUGUGAUCUUCCUGUUGUUGCCGGAAGCUUGGGUGUCAAGGAUCACACACUUCUGGUGAUGAGUGAAUAGGGUUCCAACCACCUGGACUAGAAAUUAACACACAUUUAUUCCCAUUGUUUUCUUUUCUUGCAAGUUUCAGUUCUAAAUGUUACAUCUUAAAUCAUCCAUUUAUUAUUUUACCUGCUGCUUGAAAAUGCUGAGCUUGUUGCUGGCGUAACGAGGAGCAAGAACACAGUGAACAGUAGAGUGCUUGAAAAACUUCUUAGUUUCCUCAUCAUGAGUCCCCAUUACACCUUCCUGCAAAUCAAAUCGCGUCAGAUAUUGUCCGCUUUUGGCCAAAAAUUUGUUAUCGGGUUCUUUCCAAAAUGCAUGCUCCAUACUAGUUUGAUUGAUGAUAUGGAAAAAAUCUGUCUGGAUUUACUGAUAUGGUACUUCGAUUGUAACCCCAACAGAACUGGAGCCGGCUAACCUGAGCCACCGCCCCAGGGUCUCACUGUUUCAUCUCAAAGUCGACGAUAUCAAAUGAAUGAGGAAUUCAUUUCAUUUGAAAAUGAAUUAUUUGUAGAACUCAUUCUCAAUUGAAUUCUUAUGUUUGGAAUGUCAUAUUCAAUUCUUAAUUAAAAAAAAAUUGAAUGAAUACGCAAAUUAUGUUUUGUAUACGAUUUAUAAUUGAAUUAAAUUAAUAGUUUCCACAUAUACCCUUUCAGCAGACAGAACAUUACUAUUAUUCAUUGAGCAAAAGAGCUUAUUGGAUUAGCAACUUUCUAUAUCACCUUAACCAACAUACUAAUCAUAACUUCGUAACUAAAUAAUGAAAAUGUCAAAGUAUAUGUGACGAUAGUACCGGAUUAGAAUUCUUAAAAUUAUGCAAUUUAAUUAAUAAGUGAGGAUACAUAUGUCAUUUUAUUAUAAUUAGUAGAAUUCUUAUUGAAUUCAUUUUGAAAUACCUUCCCAAUUCCUCGGAAUUGCUAUAACUAGCUUCAAUUCCGAGGAAUUCAAAAUUUAGAACUCGAGAUGAAUUCCUCCAUAUACCAAACACAAAACAAUUCAUUUCGAAAUGAAUUCCAUAAGUUUUUGAGGAAAUGCAUUUAUACCAAUCAGGUGUAUACGUAAAGUUCAUGAAAAAUGGUUAACCGGUACAUACCGUUUUAAGCAAGAACUUGUCAUGAGAAGUCUUGUCAUCCCAAAUCAGCAUCACAACCCUAACACCUUCCUGAGACUUGUACUUCAAGAGCUCACCUAGGGUUAGCUCACCACCAGAGGGCAGAGCCCUAGUGGGUUCCCUAACAAGCUUAACCCUGUGGUAGAUGGACCAACCAAUCACAUAGAUAAGGUGGUGAGCUUCCAAUAUGGCAUGGCACAUCUCCUCCCAGCACUUGUGAUGCUGGUACACUUUACCACCAUCAAGCAAUAUCUCUGGGAUCAUCCCAUCUGGGACAUGAGCAUCUUGGUACAAUGUCACCAUCCCACCUUUCCUUAGUGGGAAAUAGGUGUUUGAUACUCCUCCGUAGCUGUCCUUGUACAACGGGUUGUCCCCGACUGGCUUGAACUGGAUCGAGACUCGGAGCUCUGGGUACGGUUUUAAGCAGUUUCCCGCGUGGCCUACGAGUUGGAACCAGUCGUCGAUCUUGUCACCUGGAGCAAUGGUCGGGGUCAGGAUUUUUGUUUAGUGGUGCACAGGUUCCAACUGCGUCAAAUAAGUUCUAACUAGACAAAAUGUAGUUGGUCAGUCGUUGGAAUUAGUUGAGAUUUGUUAGAACUAGUAGAGAUGCAGUUGGAACUAAUAGUAGCGGUAUGCAAACAUAUUUAUCGGGACUAAGUGGGCCCGAGACUGGCUUCGCCACUGACCUGGAGUGAUUUGUUCGACGGGGACUUCAACAACUCCGAUCAUUUGGGCACCGAGGACGUCGUUGUCCUUGACAUGGAACUCAACUUUGAUUAUGGGAUGGGCCACGGGGACGGUGAAGUGCUCGUCCCAUAACGGGUUCUCGCAAUUCGGGAUGACUCGCGUUUGUGCCACGGUGGCUCCGGCCAGGCAUACAGACACAUAAGGGUCGCUCGUGAUCAUUGAGUGGCGCCCGGAUUUUCUCGUGUGGCGCUUUGAGCACGGGGAUCCCAGGAUGGUGAAGCACCUCCUCAUGUGUUCGGAUGCUAAGUCCAUGUUGGGUAAGGAUUUGGCUUCAUGGAUCCAUAUGUCGAGCUCGCCGUGGAUGAACGUGGGUUGUUUUGAUGUUGAUGUUCUGUUGUUGCUGUUGCUGCCUCUUGUGGAUUGCUGUUCUUGGGAUGUACUAAUUCGUGGUGGUGGUAGUGCUCUUGUUAUGUCGACUUCACUAGCCAUUGUUGUUGUUGUUGUUGUUGAUGUUAAGUUUUGUGAUGAUGAAACUCUGGGUUUAAAGCCUCGCCAUAGCAAUCCCUUCAAAUGAUCUUUCAUGAAAAAACAAAGGUUUUUGUCAAUAUCGGAAUGAAGAAUGAAUUAAUUAUGGAAGACAAGAAGAAAUAAUUUGAGAUAUAACGUGGAGAACCGUUGAACCGUUACAUUUCAAUAAUAAGAAUUCUUUUUUUGCAAAGAUUGAAGUUCACAUAGCUCUACCAAGCUUUUUUGCAAGUAUGAAAUUGCUUGUUAUAUCAUGAGCUAGCUAGCAUGACUAUAAUGGCAGCAUCUCUUGGUUAAAGACUCUAAUACCCGUGUGGAUGACCAUCGGGAUAUGAUACAUAGUUUCUCGAAUGGUAUCAAAGUCUUUAACCGAGAGGUCUUUACACCGAAUCAUGAAUUGCCCCGAUAUUUCUACUUGUACGGGUUUCGUUUGAAAGGAUGUACAACAAAAGUUACAUAAAAAAAUUUCAAACCUUUCAAUAAAAACUGAAAUUAUUGAGACGCAAUCGUUCUUUCACAAAGAGAGUUUUUUUUGUGUGACAAAUAUUUAACGUAUAUGAUCAAAACAAUCAAUCUGUAGUAAUAACAUUACACAAUUUUAAAAAACAUCAAUCUAAGAUGUUAAUUUUUGGUAUAUAUAAAUGAUGAACGAUAUAACUAUAGACGAUGUAAUAUAUGUACGAUUCAUUUAAUAGUAUUGUACUUACCGAAAGGUCUCUACCCGACAUGGGCAGAUAGUGGAGGAGGUGGCGAGGCUUCAAACGAAAGAGGAGGGAGGUGUGUUUCGGGGAGACCAGCAAAGAAUUAGAAGAUGUAUGAAAAUCGAAAGAUGAAUGUUCGAAUUGAAGAAGAUGAUGAGAUAAAGGGGAAGAAAAGAAACUAAUUAGGGUGAGGAAGAUGAUCAUGUUGGGAUGUUGCUCCAUCAGGAAUUUGACAGAUAGAGAAACAAAGAAACUAACUAGAAAAAAUUGGAGGAAGAAAAAUAAUUCUCAACCCGAUAUUGUAGGGAACUUCUUGUGUCGAUCUAAAUCUGUAAAACAAAUUAUUAUCGUUCGGUUAAAACUGUCGGAGCUCUGUGUCGAACCGGUCCUCGAUCGAAAUCCAACUGGUUAGAUUUGCUACUAUUGACAUAGUCCCAGUUAGUUUCGUUCUAUGCUGGUGACUCAAAAAUACCGAAAUUCGAAUCUUGUACACCCCGACAAACGUACACCGAUAAUAUAAAAGUGUUUACAUCAGAUGGGAAACAAAGAAUCAUGAUUCAAACCAAAAUGUUUCAUCCACAUCAGAAUGAAUGAAAUUGUUUACUGCAUUGCAUAAUACAGUUACGAUCAUCGCUACGGAUCCCCGGAAUAGAUAAGUCAUGUUAAUGGACAAUGACCAAACAUACAUUUCCAUCAUACCAACAGUUUCGCAGCCAUAGUGAUCUCGACUCGUUGUGUAUGCUUUAGGCCUCAGGGCAACGGAGAGGACCUGGUGCGGGUGCCGAUUAAGGGGGAACUUAUGCUUGUCUACGUCUUUUCGAGCCGUCCUCUGCAUAAUACUUCCAUUGAGAGUGAUCCAGGCUGCUUAUAUCAUCUAGCUCCGCUAUGGCAAGAAGGUACUCAGUUAGCUUCCGAAGCUCCUGAUCGCUAUCACGGUUUGCAUGAGCCUUCCUGAAGGGCUUGAUUGUUAAGCCGUUUUGAGGGUUCAUCACGAAGUUCCGUCUCAAAUCAUCAAACAUUAUGGUGUUCUUCGGACUGUAAAACUGUUAGGCAGCAAAAUUUGAGUUUGUUAAACAUGAUGAUCCUUAGAAAGAGAACUCUAGAAUGACAAAAGAAGAAAUCCAAUUCAAGCAGUUACAUAGUAACUGUAAGAGUUUCACCUCGGGGAAAUGAGCCCAUAUCAAUCCAAGGGGCUUGCAGUCGAAGAUCCCACGGGCAUCUGAUUGUACAGUGAUCAUACCUAAAUGGUCCAGGAGAGCGGUGAUUUUGUAAUUGGGAUUGCUUAGCACUCCAAGCUCUCCCAUCUUCAAUUCAACCCACUUCAUGCUGUACAAACAUACACAAAACUAAGUAACUAGAGCUAUCAUCUACAACCUGUUCACCCCGCGAGCAUUAAUAUGCAAGAAUGGCCAAGAAAAACAAUUCAUCGAAGGAGGACAAUAUCAUACCUGGUUGCAGACCAUAUCAUUAUAUCAUAUUCUGCAUAAGCGGCUGUAAGGAAUUCAUGGAGAUCUGCAGAAGAAAAUGUUAGAAAGCAGAAACCAGAGAAAACAAUAACAAAAGACAGUAUACGCACAUGGACGCAUUAGUUCCAGAGGGUUCUCCGCUGUUGACCGGUGAUCGAAAAGGGUGUAGUCAAUAUCCAGCACAAGCAACUUCUUUCCUUCACGGCAUGGGUUGCGAGGCUUGAUCUACAAUACAACCACAUGAAAAUCAGACAAUUUUAAGAUAACUACAAUCUAAACCCAAGAAGACAGAAAACACAUGGUGAUGGAAUGGAGAUAGGUUAUAUAUUCAUUUUUCCCUCAUUUGUGUUCAUUAUUAGCCCUUGUUUAGGUAAAAGUAAGUAGUGCUUGAUUAGAAAUUUUCAUAAUAAGAGAAAUACUUUUUCGGAGUUGGUAUUAGUUGGAAUAAGAUUAGCCGUAGUUCAGUGCUUGAAGCAUAAGAAUUUAUCAGAUUUCAAUAAGAACUCUCAGAGUUACUGCAACAACUUUUUCUUGUGUUUUCUUUGGCUUAUCAACUUCAAGUUGUGGCAUGGUGAGACUGUUCUUUGCUGAAGAAUAUUGAUAUUCUAGGCAUAAACGUGUUUAGUUAUCUUCUUACCUUAAAUUACUAUUUUUGUAGUUAAGGUCAUUAGCUGAUAUAGUAAGCCUAUUCCUAUGAGAUUUUCUACUUUAGGAAAGGACUCUUGUAAUCAGUCUAUAUAUUAGUCACAGACUAAUAUUGUGAAUAAUACAAUCAGAUUAUUCCCGAAACCCUACCUCUCAAAGUUUAUCAUUCUUACUUUGUUCUAUUAUCAUAAACCUCCAUUUUCCAUCCCUAUUCGAAAUUUCCAGGCAGCAGCCCUAUUUCAUCUAACUGAAAUCAAUCCGAAACAGAUACAACAAUUUGGGAGAUUCUUCAGGCCAAAGUUACAUCAUAGCUAAAGUAUUCAUCUGACAAUUUUACCAGAAAUUUGAAACUUCCGUAAUUGAGACAGAGUGUUGUACGUGAAUACGAACAAGUAAACCUCAAACCUAUCAGUACCUUGUAUUGAUCCACGCGUCUCUUCAACUUCUGCUUAUUAACUUCCUUGUCCUUGAUAUCAAUGGCUUCAUCUUGUCCAAGCUGAAAGUCAUCGACGAUCUCCGGAUCAUCCAUUUGGUCCACAAUUAUGUCAUCCUCCACAGUUCUGCAGAACAUACCAAAGUUGGACACUUCAAAAGCUACAAUGGAAUCCAAUUCGAAAUUCAGAUAAUAAAGAGAGGAGAAUCGAACCCGAUCAUCGUCAUCUUGAGCGAGGACUUGAGCGGAAGCUGGGAGAGGAGAAGAGAUUCGUCGGCGAGCUUGUUGCCGACUUUAGGGUACAAGAGCUUCUGUCGUUUGGGGAGUACAUUAGUGGCUUCGCAAAUCCGUCGCUUCAAUUCAGCCACCGAAUCGUCUCCGCACACUCGGACGGUGUACUCCUUGCCGCUCCACUUCACUGACAGAGUCAUUUCCUCUACCAUCGCCGACGCCGAGGACGACUCCGCCGCCAUGCUGUUUCCUGGACUGUUUUUUUUUUCUGAGUUUUUUCUACUUUUCAAAAAUGUAUACCGUCAAUUGAGCAAGAGGUAAAUUCGUCAAGAUUUAGGGUGACUAAACAAGAAGUCAAUGUAAUGUUUAAUUUGUUCUUUUUUUUGUUGAGUGAAUUUAUAAAUUUUAUGUUCUUGUAGGUUUUUGAGUAAAUUUAUCGGUUUUGUGUCGCUUCGAAUUCUUUCAUAUAGCAUGCCUACUCUUGAUCCGAUCAGCAUAUGACCCCUUACAUGUCAUGUUGGCUUUCCAGAUAUUUAUUUGGUGUUAUCGGUGAGGUUUGGCAUGUGGAUAUUGAGGAGACGUGGAGCUGGUGCUUUUUCGACUAUUACGACGAAGCAUUUGAUACGUAAAAGGUGAUGUAGUCAUCACAUAAGUCUUGACUUUACUAACGGUUUGUCCUCAUUUGCAUUUGUAAGUGGUAUUGCGCAAUUCUAAUUGCUCAUCAAGUGGCGAAAAAGGUUUUUCAUAUCUCAUGAUCCGUAUUGAGACCGAUCUAACACUAAGUGUCGUUUCUUAAUUAUUAUUUGUAUGCUACCUUGAUUCCUUCAGUUAAAUCCUCUGCAACAUGAUGACCUAAAAUCUCAUCAAAAGUAGUUGAACAUAAUAAAUCCAUUCAUAAGUCUCCUGAAUUCAGGUGAAAUUGCAGUGAUGGUAGAAUUAUAUCUCAGAUUACCCUGCUAUUGCUGUAUCACAUUCUCUUUACUAACAACUGAAUGAAUAUAUUUACAUUUACAUGUCACGAACACAAAUGGAUCGAGUUCGGAUCCAGUCCAAAAAUAGUUCAUCCCCCAACUUCAGUAGCUAUGCAUGAUUUCCCAUACAUCAUCGAUUCCUUCCCCUUUCAUGCAUCCGAACUGUGAACUUACUCGUGACAGAACAUCAAUGGUGGAAAUGCGGCACAUGCCAUGCCUAUCAUCGCAAGUCCAAAUUUAUCUGUGAUUCAGAUACUAUCUGAUGAUUUAUCUGAUUGAGUUACUACCUAAGCAUAUCAUUGCUGUACAGCUGCGGCCCACUGAGAGCCGGCGAGAUGCUAAAAGCAUGGCUGGCAUCACCACUACAGGAGAAAGAAGGAUGCGAAAGAGGCAGCGGCCGAUCCGGCAACGGCGGAACUUCCACGUCACCUUCCAGCAUCUUCAACGCAUCUAAUAUAGUAGGUCUCAAAGCAACCAUGACAUGAGCACAUAGAAUCCCCACCAGCACAAACCUCUCCAUCGCCACCUUCUGAUUCGACGUCGAAUCUUCACCGCCACUUAACAAGGACCGAUCCAGCGCCUUAUCGAGUUUCCCGGCCUUUACUCGGGACCAAGCCCAGUCCGUGAUUAGAAACCCGUCUGAGGAAGACAUGUCAAGAGCCUUCCUACCGCACAUUAUCUCAAGCACGACGACUCCAAAGCUGUAGACGUCGCUCUUCUCCGUUAACUGCCCGUAGAGGGCGUACUCGGGGGCUAAGUAGCCGUGAGUACCCGCCACUCUGGUGGUGAGAUGAGACUGACCUUCGAGGCUCUGCUUCGCUAGCCCGAAAUCGGCAACUCUAGCUCUCAUGUCGGAGUCGAGUAGUAUGUUGGUCCCCUUAAUGUCUCUGUGGAAAAUUGCUGGCUUCACUCCGUGAUGCAAGUAAGCUAGCCCUUUCGCCACGUCCAGUAUUAUGUUCUUCCUCUGUUGCCAACUCAGUGGCCCCACUUCUUCUUUUCCUGAGAAGUCAGGCGGUAGAUUUGAAAAAAUUCAAUACAUUGGGUCGAAUUGUAAAUUGAAAUUUGAAAAUGCACUGGAUCAUACAUAGAAACCAUCCUAAUCAACAUUUAGGCCACAUUUUCUACGUCGGAUUUGCUUGCUAAUUUUGGACGCUAGCAGCCACAAAGUGACAUUUCAAUUCCAUCGGAUUCGGGCGCCGAAUAACGCCCGCCUAUUUCUAGCAGCCAAAUUUCAUUUGGAGAUGCACGGAAUUUCCAAAUUCAACGGAUUUGACAGAAUUCCAUGCGGAAUUUUCCAGAUUUGGGGGCUAAUUAUGAACGUUGGACCAAUCCCGCCGGAUACAUUUUCCGCAGCCACAAAGUCACAUCCUCAAUUCCGCCCGCCUAUUUCUAGCUGCCGAAUUCUGUUUGGAAAUGUACGGAAUUGCCAAAUCUGACGGGUGUCACGGAUUUGGAAAAGGAGUUCUGGCAAAUUACGGAUUCCGGCCUCAAUUGGACAUUGAGGAGCGGGAAACGUGACCUUAAAUAUAAAGAACAUAUAUUAUUAAAGAAGUUAUGAACCUCGAGAAGGGUUUGACCCUGGCCUGGGAGAGGCUGCCUCUAGGUCCGCCAUGACUGUCGGGAACAAAUGGUCAUCAAGGUUGCCAUUCUCCAUGUAAUCAUACACAAGGUACCUCUGACUCUCGCCUGCAUCGACAUCGUCUUCCCUUCCGCGGCCAUCGAUCACGCAACAGCCUCGAAGGGGGACCAGAUUCCGGUGCUUCAAGUUGCUGAUGAUCUCAAUCUCGUUCCGAAACUCAGCAUCACCUUGAAAAUCAGACUCCAGGACCCUCUUAACAGCCACACUCGUCCCAUCAGAGAGAACACCCUUGUACACAAUUCCAAACCCACCUCUUCCAAUGAAGUUGCUGUCCGAGAAACCAUUAGUUGCCUUCUCGAGCUCAUCGAUCUUGAACCAAAUCGAACCGGUAUUCGGCCUCAAUCGAGGCCUGGAUAAUCCCUGUUCUUCUUUCCAAAUUAGCCUCCUCUUCCUUUUCUUAUCAUACCAGAACCAGAACCCCCCUGCCAUAGACACGGCGAUCAAACCAGCAACAGAGCUGGCUAAACCAGUAACCAGAGCUGAUGAUUUACGAGCCGAAUUACCCAUUUCGAUCGAACCAACCAAGUCCAAACCGAAAAUACAGGACGCAGCGCCGUAGCUAUCGGGACCGAAAUCGUUGACUACACCGGCGGCGUAAAGGACUGCGAAGUAGAAGCAAUCAGUAGCGUGAGAUUUGUUACCGUCGAUCGAGACCAACGUUAACUGAAUCCGAAACCCGGCUGCCACGCACGAAUCGCAAGCUGUGAGAUGGGUGAGGUCCGUUUUGCAAGCCGAGUCGAGCGGAGUUGACGAACCAACUGCAGCAACCCAAUCCUUGGUUGACUGGAUUCGAGCGCAGAUGUUUGGGGAGAUCACGUAGUUUUGAGGGUGGAAGCAGUAGGAAACGUCGUCGUUUUGAUUUGAAAGCUUGGAUUUGAAAUUUUCAAUGCAGGAGAUGGAAGUGGGGAGAUCUGGGAGGUGGAAAUUGGAGGUUUGCUUUAGGUGGAGAGCUAGAGAUAUACCGAAGAGGGAGAGGAGAGUUCUGCAACACGGGUCUUUACUGCUGUCGUUGUUUCUCGGGAGGAGGUGGUUCUGGCAAGAUGAUCUGUUCCAUGGGAGUCUGGUGACGUAGUCGAAAUUCAUUGGGCAUGAUGAUGACGACGAUGAUGAUGAUAUGAGAAAGCCGAAUAAGCUAAUUGAGAAGGCUACGAGACGGAGAGGGAGAGUGCCGGAAUCCAUCUCGGCGGUGGUCGGAUUGCUCUGGAUUUCUUGGGUUCUGUGAUUCUGUCUUACCUACCUACGUAGUAAUCAAUUGGUGGGUGUUUGAUUGGAUUGCUCUGGACAUUUUUGUUUGUUUUCUUGCGUAGUUGUUCUCCGGUGGUUAGUUAGUUUGUUUUGUUUGGACUGCCAGAAGUUUCCGGGCGGCUGGGAUUGACUUCAGGUGAGUAGUGAUUUACACGUGUGUGGUUCCGUGGCCGAAGGCCGGAGAUGAUGUUCUCUAUAUAUCAAAGAAAACGGUUCAUACUCUGUAUUCAGUUACGUAUACUCCCAAGUGUCACGUUUAAAUUCAUGUAUUUUGAGUGCGUAGAUGAUUACUGAAAGUGUAGAAUGUUAUCCCUCGAUCGGAUAGUCCGAAACGAUGAUAGAAUUUCGAGUAUAGUCGUAUACCCGUUUGCGAACAACCAUCACAGACCGAAUAUUACAUGCUCCAGAACAGAACGGACUAAGUCGAGGCGAAGAGUCGAAAUUGCCAACAUAUUAACUGCUGGCGGGAAAGAGCAAAUGAUCAUUCAUUUGUACAAGGUGAAAUCAUUGCCUACUCUAAAAUACAGUAUAGACGCAUUUCAUACAUACACGUAUUAUAUCAGUUGAAGCCUAUAUAGAAUAUACACAGUUAUAGAGUACAAAGUAAACAUUUCUGCCUUACUUGGUUCCACCAUCGUUGUCCGUGGUGUCUAGCUCCAGACCUUCUGCAGCAAGAAGCUGACUGAUGAGGUUUUUCUUGUCAUCUUCUUCUUUCUUCCUCAUCAGAUCCCUCUUCUUCAGGAUCAGAGUAUGACGCUUCAGGGUCGUACUGAAGUACUCUGCAGAUGCUUUCUUCUCCCUUCGGAGGAUUCUUCUCUCUUCAUCUGGAUCAAUCUAAAUGUUGCAGAAAUCCAUAUACAAAUACACAUGUGAAUUCAGGAUACUACCAAAAUAACUCGAUACGUCAUACUUCACAAACAGAAAAACAUCUGGGAUAUCUUGCACCUGAUGAUCACUUCUCGACUCAUAAACAAGUUACACACGAUUAAUCAUUAACCGCGGCAGUUAAAAUGGUGGUGCCGCUAAUGGUUAACGGCUAAUAACCAUUCAACACAUGAAAUGCAGGUAUGAGUUUGCUUUCGAACCAGUUAUCUGACUAACCAUUCAACUAUUUGGGUUUUUGGUAUUUGUGGUUAACCAUUUUUUACUGACAAGGAUUGGAUAUUGGGUAUUGCCGUAUUGGAUCAUUGAUCUAGAUCACACAAUGACAAUUAUUUUUCCAAGUACAAUACUUUGUGGUCCAUUCUGAGAGGAUGAGCUCUAAAUAUGAUAAAACGGUUAAUGAAUAAUAACCGUAUGGAAAAUGGUUAACUAUUAAUCGUAAAAAUGGUAUGAUUAUUGGAUAAACCUACAAGUCUAUAACCAUACCCAUUUACUAAGACCUAGAUUAAACAUAAUCUGGAUGUUAACGAAGUAUAACAACGAUAUACCUUUGAACGAGAAAGCUGGCGUGCACGGAGAUUUAUCUCACGCUGUUGUUGUUCAGCCCAUGCCGCAAUAGCCAUAUCCCCACGUUGAUCGAAAGCCUUCCGCUUCUUCAUAAGCCAGUCCAUCCAUGCUUGUGAUGCCUGGUACAGCAGGCGUGCGAAAAAACUAACUUAGCAAACAGUUUGAAGGUUAAACAAGGUUUCUUAAUCAUAGUCAUAGCGGCUCAUUAGAGCAUGUAAGAAUUCAAUGCCAAUGUGCAUUCAGCUGAUUUCGACUUGAUAUCCAGUGAAUGGUACGAUUGUCAAACAUUUGUAGACCGAAACAAUGUCUAAAACCCGAUUGUCAAGUCUUACCUUCAUCGGGCUGUCUCUGUUGUCCAUGUCAUACUGCUUUCUCUUACCCUGAUCCAUCAACAACUCAUAUGCAGCUUGGAUCCUGAUGAAUCUAGCUUCUGCAGUUUCACCUUUCCCCAAGGUGCCUCUCCCAUCGUAGACUGAUAGAUCAGAAGGGAUUGGAUAAUCAAAAGAUGCAGACAUAACUCAGUCGAUAAAAAUCAAAAUAAUGCUCCAGUGCAUCGUGAGUAAUUAUUAAUUAUGAAGUCACAGUCCACAUAACAAGGUACAGACAUCGGUUCUACCUACUGCAAGCAUAUUGCAGCAAGCCUCUCACAGAAUCAAAUAACAUAAUCAGUGCGUAGCUCAAACUAGAAUUCUCGAAGGGGAACUACCUGCUAACUAAAAUAAAUUUGCUUUGAAGUAUGAAAAUUUAAGUGAUGAGAGGUGUUGGCCAAUGGACAGAGGGGGGCAUGGUAUCCAGGUAUGGCUAAAUCAAAUAUCAAACAGCUAAGAAGGCGAAGUACCAACCAUCUGGAUGAUAGAACUUCGCCAAGCGUCUGUAAGCAACCUUAAUAUCCUCUUCGUUGGCAUCCCCUUCCAAUUCUGCACAUACAAAAAAAAAUCAGAAAAGAAUCCAGUCAAAACUUCGACUGUCCAAACCAUUUACAUACUAUCCCCAUAAACAAAGCGCUUACCUAGGGUUUCAUAAGGAGACAUCUGAUCCUUCCAAUUGGACGCAGACAUCACGACGCUCCUCUUGUGGUUAGCACGGAACAUCGGAUCGUCAUUUCUAUGGAGCCACGGCGAGAAAGAAGACGAAGAAGAAGUAUGCUGACUGGAAUCGCGGCUUUGAAAGAAAACCCUAACGCUAGACCGCGGUUGGUGGUGCCUGAAACAAACGAUGGAAGCGAACAGAGCUUGAGGGCGGCAAAGUGUUGGGAGAUUACUCAUAAUAGCUUUGUCCUUUCUAGCUCCACAGAUUGAUUGAUUGAUUACUUGAUUUCGUCCUUCACGAGCCCUGUGGAGCACGGAAGCUCAGCUAUGGCGUAUUGGUGGAGAAGGUGGAUCUAGGAAUUCCGGUGGCAGAGCUUCUUCUUCCACUAAUACGAAAUAUAGCUCGAUGCUGGUUCGUUCAACGAAACCCAAAUCGGGUGAAUCAGAAUCUAACCGAAUCUUUGUGAGGGUAAAAAACAUUUUCAUCACGAAAGUUUGGAUCAGUUAUAAAAUCAGUCACUCAAAUUCAUGCUGGGAAUGGGAUAAAUACGUUGGUGACAAAUUGACAAUACCAACCACAAUCAUUCCUUUUGUGACUUGAUAAACUUUUAACCCGGUUGAUCCAUGAUCUGAUUAACUCAAUUCAUAAACCGCUCAAUUUUUAAUUCUGAUAGUUAAGGUGGGUACCUUUUUUCGAAAUAAAAUAGAAAUGACACAAGACGUUUGUUAAUGAAAUUCGACCACAGUGGGAGACGAUGUUAUUUUGCUUUCACAGCAACCAACCGAACUCUAAACUAGAGCACGAUUGAAACCAUAAAGAUCAACUCCAAUUUUUGUGAACCUUCCUAGACAGACGUGUCUAGACCCGCUUAAAAUCUCUCACUCUAAACGUAACAUCCAACUUCUGGAGAAAGCCUGUAUCACACUUUGGUACGUUGAUUUCUCGAUACUUCCUAUUCAAACUAUCGAGCUACCUCAUGCAUACUAAACGAUUAAAAAAAAUUGAAUGAAAGAGAGCAAAAGAAUUGUAGAUAAAAAGCUUAAUUUGUUUCGACCUACACUUGCUCUAUUUAUAGUUAAGGGUUGGCUAUUUAUCGUAAUUUUCUCUUAAUUUUCAUGGUUAUUUGAUUUCCAUUAUUGACACUUUUGACGGAUUUCAAAAUCCAACAUAAUCAAUGGGUCAAAUUACAUUGGCAAGUAAUCGAGAUUUUAAAAUCUGACCAGACUCGGCCUAGUCCAAGACCGAUAUAAGCGGAUCCGUCAAUUACUCAAAUUGAUCAAGAUGUAACUAUAAUUAAUCCGAUUUAACCCAUAAUUCGACCAACUCCUAACUCGAUAAAUCUCUAGUAACCCGACCGAUACAUGACCCGCUUUACCCAGCCCAGCAGCAAUCAUUGGACGAAGCAGAUUGAUGGAAGAUCAAGGGAGCUCCACAGGGUCGACUCCCCAUCAUUUGCAGCAGAGGAAGAUGAAACCAUUUGAUCAACCACCAUUGAUGACGAUUCUUCAGUCUUCGUAGUAGUAGAAGUAGUAGCAAAUCUCUCUCUGCCUUCUUCUUCCUCCUCCAUUGACAUCCCCCUCUGGUUCCUUCUUCUGCAAGCACUCUGCAGCUUGGUCAACUGAUCUCCAGCAGCUUGGUCAACUUUAAGCUUCAAGCACUCUGGAAUCCCAUGGAACGCAUACAGAGAGGCAGAGAACUUCCUUUCGUAUUUCAUCCUCUUGAUUUCGGAGCUGUAGCACUCUUCCUGGUCAAUCUCCUGAUGAUCAGCCAUCUGAAACGGGGAGUAGUAUUCUGCCGAUGAAUUCAGCGUUGUAAUUCGAAGAUCGUCCACGAAAUCGAAGUUUAUUAGACCGCCAUUGUCGUCGACCCCUCCGAUUUCUCGAGAGUCAGAGGAAUGUUGGCUGUUGAAAUCACAGGUUGUUCCUAAAUUGAAUUCUGCUGAUCCAGCUUGCAGAUCGCCGGUCCCGAAACAAUUGUAAUCGUCUUCCUUUUGAUCAAUGCUUGGUGGUAGUAAUAAUGAGUCCGGGAAGAAAUCUGUGAAGUUGGUAGUGGCUGUUGGUGGAGGUGGUGGUGCUACCACUGUUGUUUGUACUUCUCCUUCUUCAAGUCUCUUUCUGCAUUUGUUGUGGCAUCAUGUAGUAGUUAAAAUCGAGAUUUAUAUCGAAAAAUAUUAUGCAAAGUCAUAAUAUCAUAAAAUUCUAUGAACCAACCAUCAAUUUAAUCCGAUUAUUGUUUAGAGUUGACAAAAUUUUAUACAAAUUUCAUGAAAUUUCAUAUAGUAUUUCGAAAAUUGUGAUUUCAUCACUAUUUAGAACAGUAAAUGGACCAAAAUACAUAAUAGGUCAUGCAUUUGGACUGAGUUACAUGUCAUUUACAUAGCAGUCUGAAAGCUUAUGAUUUAGUACCUCUCUAACUUGAUCAUGUUUGCGGUCCAAUACUUAAUUGAAAAUCAUAUUAUACACCAGUUUUAAAAUUUUCAAAAUACCAUGUUACCUGUCUCGAAGCUUACCAAUAUUACUGAUUAGAGUGAUCUUAAAUUAUAAAUUUCCAAAUUGGUAUGUAAUAAUUUGAAAUGUCAGGUACGGAUAUAUAACGAGUUUCAGAACUUCAAAAUAUUAUAAUAACGGUCCUAAAACUUAUCAGUAUGAUUGAUUUAGAGUGGUUCCACGUUAUAAGUUUUCUGAACCGAUAUAUAACAUUUUUAAAGUAUUGGAACUGAUACGUAACUCAACCGCCAAAGUUACAAAAUGUAUAGUUUGAACAAAACGCCGCCGUACUAGCGGGAUGGCCAUAUUGGUGGUGGGAAGAAGAAGAAGAAGAAGGAUUAGAAGAAGGCCAGAAGUUGGUCCUGGUGUUGGAGCCACGGAGGAGACAGGCGGCUUCAUCGUAAGCUCUGGCGGCUUCCUCGGCGGUGUCGAAUGUCCCUAACCACACUCUGAUUUUCUGGACCGUGUCUUUGAUCUCCGCCACCCAUCUCCCCGAUGGCCUCUGCCUCACCCCUACGAAUCUCUUAUUCCUCGUUCUUCGGUCGAUGUCGUUGACCUGCAGAUCGUUCUCGCUGCCGGAUGAUGUUUGAUCAGUUGCAGCUACUGCUGCCGCAACUUUUCUCUUCCUGCCCAUUUUCUGAAAACAGUUGGAAAAUGUGUUGUUUUGCAGUACUUUGAACUUAGCUUGCUAGCUCUGUUACACUUCUUUUAAAGUGAGGGUGUUUGGGGUUAUAUAUAGAGGCAGAGAUUGUGGGUGAAAUAUCGAAAUGGUCCGGUAAUGUUGGUCGGAGAACAUAGCGGUCACGUAAUCUUUUUUAUAAUCAAAACGGUCACGUAAUUUAGAAUGGAUUGAAUUGGUAAAUGGUGACAUAACUUUGAUAUCGUUUGAUACAAAUGUUUGUUCUCAUUUGUAACUGCCCUUUCCUGUCGGUUUUCUUAUUAGUGGGUUUUUAUCUCGUUGUGUAAUGAGCUUUUGUCGCGUUUUGUAGUGUUAUGAGCUUUUUCAGUGAAGUCAUCCUUGUAGUUGACGUUAGCUUGGCCAGCCCAUUGGAGCUUUUUCAGGGUAUUCGAUGGGAAGAGUAGAGAUGACCAGCCCAUUGAAGUUGCGCAAAAUCAUGCGAAAACCCGAAGAUGUCGGGUGAGUAAAGCUAGCAAAGUUGGUAUUGCACUUGACCCAUGGUGGGCUAGGCAGAUGCCAACUAGUGCAAUACUAUGAUGAGGAGCCACGUGGACUUGGUUGUUGGAGACGAGUUGUAGUCCAUUCUUCGAGAACAGCCAAAGUAGCUCGACCGAGGGUUUUUUCUAAUAAUAAACUGCUUCAUUUCAUCAGUUUUUCAAGUUUGGUCGGAAUAGACCGAGAUUCUCAGUCAAUAUUAAAUAGAAGACACAAAGUAGACACAACAUUGAUAGAAAAAUAAUGUUGCGCGGAUCAAAGCCUGGUGAUUAUUAUGUUACAAAUGAAACGUUAGGUGUCCAGGGCGUUACAGAGCUCGAAGCUUGGUGACCAGAUUGAAUCAUUAAUUAACUGCUCCGAUUAAAAUAGUCAUCGUCAAAGUUCACCUCUCUGCAAAAUCAUUAGUUUAUCUGUAAGCCAGUGAAGAGAAUCUAGUGAUUGGGGUUUCAGAUGAUUAAUCUGUUCACAAGUACGUUGUUGUCCUGUUGCAUCCCAGUGGCACACAAAUGGAGCAUUUACCUUGGCUCUGAUGUUUCCUACUUCUCCCAAAUGGCGAUGUUUCUUGGGAUGGAUUUCAACGUCAUGGUAAUAAUAAUAAACUAAGUGUUAGCUACUUUGACCUGGCCACAACUGCUGACACACCACCAAACACAAAGCUCGAUCUCUAUACAUAUAACAGUUGUUUGCUUUCUGUCUGUUGCAUUGACCAACCAAUUAUUAGUCUGCAGAUACAGGAACAGUGAUGUUACGUAUAGUAAUCAUAUAUUAUGGGACAAAACAGAGGCUUCCUCCUGUUCCAGGGACUAACGGUAAUCAUAUAUGUGUAACGGGUUUCACCACCCUCGCCCUCGUUCGAAAACGCUGUUUCUAUCGGAUCAAUCCGUCAGGUAAUCCAACGGUUCAAAAUUAUUUUUGUGACUUUUAAUCUGACAGUUGAAAUUUUAUCAGGGUAUAACGGGAAUUUAAAAAAUAUUAUCUAUCUUUCACCUUUUUCUUCUCUCUCUCCUCUCUCUGCUCUUCUCCCAUAAACUGGAUAUAAUAAUGACGAACGUGGAUACAACAAUUUACAUAUGAGGUCGAUAUAAUGAGCCUAUUAAAAUGAAAUAAUAAAAAGACAUAACACACUCGUAAAGUGUAUAUAGCACCGGCAUAAAAGAGUGGUAAACUGGACAUAACGAUGAUGAAUUCAACUACUCCUAAGGUGGACGUGACAACAACAAUAACGAGUCUGUAAAAUGGUCGUAUUGGCGACAUAACAUGCUCGUACAAUGACCAUACCCAUGUGAUUUUUUCCAUUUUUUUGUUCCGAAACUACCUCAUUCAAGUCAAUUCGUUUUGAUUCAUUUUCAGCCAUUGGAUGAAAAUUAACCCAAAAGUGAUCUGAUCUAACGGCCACGAUCUGUCUGAUCAUGCUCUAUGAACAAUAGCUGCUUUGGUCCUCGUUACGCUAUCGGGGCCAAAAUCAAUACCAUCACCGUUAUUAUACGGAUUUCGGGGAUCACCACUAUAAUAAAUAAAAUCUGUCCAAAACAAAAAGUUAGGUACCCGAACUGAAAAAUUGCAAAAUUCAUUAAACUAGUCAUUAACCCACUAAUUAAUAUAAAUGAAUUUCUCAAAACUUUAUGUAAUUCAUUUUGAAACAAAUGUUUUUGUUUUUGGUUUGUAAAAAAAUUCAUUUUCAAUUUUAAAUUUUGAAUUCUGCGGAAUUGAGGAUAGAGUUAGCACUUAGCAAUUUCGUAGAAUUGAGUAGUUAUUUCCAAAUGAGUUCCACAAAAAUUUACUAAUUACAUUAAAAUGACUUAUUUAUCCUCAACUAAUAAUUAAAUUAACAUCAUAACCAUCAAACCUAAUAUAUAUAAUUAGAGUUGGCCGACUCUUGUUUGCUCAAACUUCUUAUUCUUGUUGCCGGCAACAAAGCACCGNNNNNNNNNNNNNNNNNNNNNNNNNNNNNNNNNNNNNNNNNNNNNNNNNNNNNNNNNNNNNNNNNNNNNNNNNNNNNNNNNNNNNNNNNNNNNNNNNNNNNNNNNNNNNNNNNNNNNNNNNNNNNNNNNNNNNNNNNNNNNNNNNNNNNNNCGGUUAAGGUGAUGCAAUUGCUAAUUGAAUAACCUCUUUCACUCAAUAAGUAAUAGUAAUGUCUUGUCUAUUAAAAGGGUAUAUGUGAAAACUUUUGAUUUAAUUGAAUUCUGAAUUUUAUACCAAACAUGAUUUAGGAAUUUAAUUCAAUUUAUUUUUAAGAUUUGAAUAUGACAUAUCAAACAUAAGAAUUCUUUUCAAAAUGAACUCUACAAAUAAUUCAUUUUAAAAUAAAAUGAAUUCCUAAUUCAUUUUAAAAUAAUAUGAAUUCCUAAUUCAUUUUAUAUCAAACAAUGCGUAAAAAUAUAUUUUAUUGAAUUUGUGUGGCGGAGAAGAUGAAACUUGAAAGAGAUUAUUGUAAUCUUCUAAACUCCUGAAGUUUAUAACCGUACAAAACGAGGUCGUUUUCAUUUUCGGACAGAGACGGAUCGAAAACCCUGAUACCAUCACCGCUUAAUUCCGGGUUUCGGGGAGCUCCAUUACAAAACCCGUCAAACUCGGGCUUUCACCAUUCAUUUAUAAUGGGCUUCGGGGGACCUUCGAGUUUUCGGGUCCGAAUAAUGCCAAGCCCUAGCUAUUUAUACAAUCGAACUUACAAAAGUGUGUAAGAAGUUCCAUCGACAUUAAAUCAUAGCAGACUCGCUGAUUGGAUAAGAAGACAUAAUCCUUAUUACGUUUUAUUUACGCCAAAUACACUACAAAUCUUUGAACCUUUAGCCUACUUCACCCUCAUCCACAAUCAGCCGCUAGCUUCUUCACUACUUGUCCAACACGUCACCGUCGUCUUGCCCCGUCGAUGCACCUUCUGAUCCAGUCCUCCUACCGGGGCGACGCACAUCCACUAUCGGCCUCUCUUCGCUUAACCGGUCAUCCACACCGUCAAUAUACUAACACACACCGCCAUUAUCCACAGAAAAAAAACUCUCUAUUGGGUCAGCUAGCUAGGGUUGGGGAACAUCACCAGAUUGAGUUGAGUGAAUAGCAGAAGUUUUUCGAACUUGAGCUGAAGAUUUAAUGAAUGAAUCUGCGUCUUCUCCCACCUUUUGCACCUAUUUCAAGUAUACACAUCGAUUGUAAGUAAAAAGCAUCAAACCGAAUCAGUGAGAAAUUCGAAAUUUACAAGUUUGAUUGGAGUCAAAACCUCUAAAAUUCAUUCAAAAAACUAGUUAUGUUAUUGCCAUACGAGAAAAAAAAAAUUGUUUGUAGAAUAUGACGCCCAAGCGUGCUUAAACUUGUUAUACGAAAAAAUGAUCAAAUACUAUAUAUAUAAUUAUCAUUAAAAAGGUGAGACUAUGUACAGUCCGUAUUUUACUUCGUGCAGUAUGUAUUUUAGCGCAAAUAAACUAAUAUGCCCUUAAUAAAUAAAUUUGUUUACUACUUUACUAACAUAACUCUUAUUGUAUUAGUUAUCAACGCGAUUAGAGUUAUGAAAAGCGAAUCGACGAAAAGAGAGGUUUUCGAAGACGCUAUUGUUAAACUCAUAAAUUUUUAAAAAGUGGGAGAAUUUUGUAGCCACCAUAUUGAUGAACCAUUGAUGAUUAAUACGAUACGAGUUAUUUUAGCAAAAUAGUAUAUGUAUUUUUAUUAAGGGUAUAAUAGUCAUUUUAUGGACUACGCGAAGUAAAACUUGGACGAUAUAUAAUGGGCUAAAAAAACCAAACAAAAUAACAAACAUAGUCAGCAUGCAUGAUCGUUCAACUACGAAUGUGCUUUCUGUGGAUUUGUGGAGACCCAAUCCCAUUUUUGUCGGAGAAUGUUCAUGGUCGGGGCGGAUCUGGAGGCAAUCUGAUCUUAUCCAAUGCUUUGUGUGCAGGUCCUCCGAUGACUGCGGUCAUUGGUUUGAUGAGGUAAGGGCGAUCGGAAGUAUCAAUGAUCUCGAACAUUGGUGUUUCUUGCUUUGUGUGCUUAUAGAAGGAGCAAAAUGCUCAUUGUUGUAAUGGGGUGUGAUUUUCACUCGAGCAGAUGAGCUGCUUACCAAUUACAGAAAGGCUUGGUACCCGGAUUGUGAUGUUAAGAGAAAUGGAGGUGUUACUCAGUGGGUUAAACCUCAAAGGGGGUCUGUGAAGUUAGAUACAGACGCAGGUAUUUCUGGGACCGAAGGGGUGGGAGCUGGAGCGAUUAUAAGGGAUGAGACUGGUCGGUUUUUUAUUAGCAGCGGUUGUGAAGCUCCCCGGGGUGUGGAGUCCGUUACCAGCAGAAGCAGUAGCAAUGGAAUUUGGUGUGCAGAUGGUCAUUCGUCAUGGGUACCACCGUACCAGAAGGCUGAAGUGGAGGGAGACUGUUUGAAUGCUAUUCAAGGAAUCCAGGAUGCUAAUGGCGAUGUAUCUGAAAGUGGCCUGGUUGCCCUACUCCUAACCCAAAAUGCCAUGUCCCGACAAACAAGGCCCAAACCGACAAUGCCCUAUAAUGUUUCUAACCCUAACUUAACUAGGUCUAGCAUCGUCUUGGCUACUCACCAUUAACAUACAAGAUCUAAUCUGAAGCGAGUAAUCAAACUAGUUGUCGCCACAUAGCAAUCCAAUCCAUUUUUCAGGUGGGGUGCUAUAGAUGGCAAGGUGACUCCACAUACACCUAGACGAGAAACUGAAAUAAUAUACAUGCCCACUGGCACAUAAAAAAGAAAGCAAUAUUGUUAUCAGAACCAGUCUCAAUGGGUCGGUUGGAUAGCAAACCAGCAAGACAGCCGAUAAUGAUUCGGUGGUUUAGGCGGUUGGUCAAACUCGAGCGUUCACUCUCUCACCUAGACAUAAACAGUACUUUAUUAAAUACAGUGUUUUUUUCGAAACUACUUAUUAAAUAAAGUUAGAGCAUGUGUCAAUUGGCUUCUUUUUAUUUGAAUACAGCAAGUCGGCAUGUUCUUAAAGUUAAUUUUGCCAACGAUCAACACAUUCGCCACACUAAUUUUAUUUUAAUUAAAAUGCAAUUAAUGCAAGUGGGCUUGUUGAUUAGCAUGUUAGGUUGCAUCGUUGCCAUCUGAAUAUUAAUUUAUAAUAAUUUGUCUCGGACAAGUUGGGUUUGAAUCUGAUUUGAUUCAAUUGAUUCACGAGCUAAUUCAUUUAAAAGUUUGAGUGCGGAAUACCAAUUCAACUAGAUAGCUCGUUAACUAAUGAGCUGUGACUCGUGAUUUGUCUCGAAUGCUCUCUAGACCGUAUAUGGCUGGUUAUUAUCUAAUAAUACAUGCGUCGGCAUAAUUAAUAAAGUCCGAGUAUAAUUUUAACAUUAAAUAUAUAUUAAUUUUUAUUAAUAUCUAGUAAAUUAUUGUCCGAAUAUGUACAUUAUUUAGAUUUAAUUAUUUACUAAAUAAUUAAAGUUAGAAAACAAAUUAACAUGGGUGAGAUUUUACGAUAAGUUGAGUACUUUGAGUUUGUUCGAGGAAAUUUAAGAUUUAAAGUACGGGUUGAGCUUUAAUUGGGCUCGUCAACUCGAGUUGGUUCGAGCUCAAUGCGAAAGCUUUAAUAAUAAUAGCUCAAACUCAGUCAAAAUGUAACGAGUUGGGAUGAAGCAACGUGUAUGAAAUUACCUUAUCAAUGACAUCUCCGACGAGCUCAGCACCCUGAUCCAAUCUAUCGGCGGCUUCUUCUAAUCGUUCAAGGGCAUCUUUCAGUUUACCUUCCGGCAAACCAUUUCCGAUGUCGUCGGCUAACUUCUCAACUUGCUCCGCCACGUCUUCCACGAUGUCCGUUAUCAUCUCCACCGUCUCCACCGCCGUGUCUACUCGAUCCUUGAACAACGACCACACCUUGUAACGGCAAGAUGGCAGCAGAAUCGAUAGCACAACACCCACUACCCACUUUUUCCUGGUCAUGAAAAUAUAAAUAAAAGAAAAACAUUAUUCACAUUACUUUUUAAUGGUUUUCACAUCGAAAAUUAAUCAAUCUACGGCAUGUGAUUCAAAUACUUAAAUUUAUAAUUUAUAAUUUUACUGCGAUCACCAAAUCUUUUAAAAUAAUAAUUUAUAAUCGGACUGAUUAAAUUGUUUAUAUCGAUAUAUUUUUGAAAAAUAUUAAUAAAAUUUUGAAAUAACUAAUUUAAAAUAUUUUUAUCAUUCGUCUUCACCCACUACUUAAACGUUGGUGGGUGAGAAUAGAUGGUGAGUGAGUUUAAACCGAUUAAGUGAAUCAUCAUCUAACAAAUAAUAUUGACAGCUGAGUCAAGUAUUGAAAUCAAAAGUUGAAAAUGUCUGUGGAAAUAUUAUUUAUAAUCAAAUAAUACGAUUUUUGUAUGAGUUAAUUAAGAUAAAAAAAGAAAUGGACGUUUUAAAAGAAUAGCAGAAAAUCAUAGACACUAUCGUAUGAAUGUCGAAUAGUGAGUGAGUAUUUCGGUUAUUCAUCCACCACCCAAAUUAACCCAUCGAAUGGUCACUAUUCACUACAUAUUCAACACGAUAGUGAGUCAAUCCGAGUCGAUGCUCACCUCUAUCCAUCGAAAUUCGAAACUACUCAAACCCCAUAUAAUUAAUAAUAUCAAGACUUCGCCUAACACAAAAUUUCAAACUAGAACAAUUAGAUCUUAAGAAAUUCAGCAAUAUAUAAAGAAACGGACAGCUUAAUUAACUUACCAAGAAGGAAGCGAAUUAGCACCACCGGACGACGGCGGCGGCGGCGGAGGAAGAGAAACUCCUCCAGGCACUACCGAGCUACGAACGCUGACGAUCCUGGAAAUUAAGUAAAACAAAACGGACGGUCAUGAUCUUCUCUGGGCAAUCCAAACAACAGAAGGGAUCAAUUAGAAAAAGAAAAAAAAAUUUGCACAUUUUCAUCGGUCGUUGUUGAGAACGUCGGAGGAAUCUGAAACAUGUGGAGGAGAAGUUGCUCCUGCUGGUGAUGCGCGGAUUCCGAUGCGGAAGUUUGACUUCCGGACGAGUCGAUGAGUCAACGGAAGCGGCAGCCGUUGUGGCGGCGGCUAACAUUGUUUGUCAACUGCCACGUGGUAGAUAGACGGCGGGAGGAAUUCUGUGUUCUGGGCUGAGAGGAGGUGGGGGGGGAUUACAUCUGUGAUUUUAUAAGUGAUCGUGGAAGGGGAAAGGAAGGAAGAAGGAAGCAUGUGAUGCAUGUGUACGAUAAAAUAAACAUCCAAACGUUUUUGUUUUUUUAAUUAAUGGCGAUAAACAACCUAUGUUUUGUUUGUUUUAUGAUUGGUCCCCUAGGGCGAUGGCUCAUAUUAGAGUCAAUAUUGUUGGACUGUCUGUGUAUGAUCGUUUGUUUCAUCUUGGUGGAUCUAAGUUGGAGAUGAGUCGUCUACAAGUUCUUAGCCAGUCAAACACAAGUCUGUAACUAUAGUAGUUAGAUCUUCACUAAACCAUAAUAUGUAGCGAGAUCAUUGCAUAUUGUUUGAAAUUAGUGGCUAUGAUCGCCCUUAUCAUAUCGGUCAUUAAGAUGGGGUCACCCGAUGUUGGUGGAAAUUCAAUUCACAGCCUUAUCAAAACGACAUUGUAGUGAUUUAAGUGAUUGCGCUGCGUUUCGAUUGCGAGUUGACUCGGAGAUGCAGCCUAACGACUAGUAACGGCUCAACAGAUUUUCAUGAAUCAGUUGGUUAGAGCCCGACUUGGUUGUCUCCGAUCCUAGCCGCAACUCUAAUCCCCAACCAUCCUUAGCACCGGAAUCGAAGCCUUUAAACAGCCGCAAUCCUACUGCUCAAGUCACCUCAUCCCCGACGCCAAACAUACCAAUCCAUCAAAGCCUUCAAACCAUCACGACGCCAACCAGCGAUCUUCUUACACCAGCCAGUCUUCUCAUGAACAAUACCGGUGACGCAACCAGCGGAGGGAACUCCAACCGACAGUCCGCAACUCUUCCGCCGGUGGGAGACCCGCGUCAUCCAGGCCGACAAUUACAAACUCAUCCGGCUUCUCCAUAAACAACAACGACAUCGCCUCUACCUGAGGGAGUUCGACAUCACCCAGGUCGACGAUCCAACACACGGAAACUCAGGCAACAACGGUGACAUUACAGAUCUCUCGGCCGCUCAGCAAGCUGCGUUUGUAUCUUCAGUAGGCUCUGCAGCAUCAGCACCAUCUGAGGCCGUCAUCUCAACCCUAACCGGCUCCGCACAGCGAUCAACAACCGAUUUGAUCAAUGACCGUCCAUCGGUCCUCGUCCCCGAGUUAGCAGUGUUAUCCUUAAUCGAUGUUAUCAGCCAGCCGCCAGUCUGGGAAUAUGAAUACUGUAUCGUGGGAACUUUCCUCACGAAGGAGAUUAAUUUCUUCGCUAUGAAAAAAGAGUUUACCGAAUGUUUGGCAACCAAUCUGUGAGGUCGAAAUCACGCAGCUGGAAGAUCAUCGUCUAUUCUUCCGAUUUGCACACGAUGUUGAUGUUCGGAAUGUGAUAGACCACGACCCUCGGUUCUUCUACAAACAGUUGUUGAUCACUCAUGAACUUCAAAUGGGGAAAUCCUCGAUCAGGUACCGCUCCAAACGGUGGACAUGUGGAUCUGCAUUCAUAACCUGCCAUUUGGUUACUUCUCAGAGCAAGUAGAAACCAUAUUGCUUACCCGAAUGCCUACAUGAGAUUGAGAGUCGCUCUGGAUAUUGAAAAACCUUUACUUAAAGAGCGUCCAGUCACUCUCCAUAAGGACGUUGAGAUCACCUGUAAGUACAAAUAUGAGCGACUAUCCAAUUUCUGUUUUAUAUGUGGAAUUAUGGGACAUAUAGAGAAAAAGUGUGAGUUGCGACUCGAAUUUUCAGAUGAACAGCUAGUUUUCUAAUGGGAUGACUCAGUUAGGGAACCUAUAUGGAAAGAAACCCAAAUUAAAGCUGCUAGUAGGUGGGAUUUCAAAAAACCGAAAGAUGACAUUCGCAGGAUAAAUCACCCCGUCGGACCGGCAUCUACAACUCCAAACCUUAGGGCAACAUUCCAUAGAAACAAGGCACCGGUAAUUCAUGACGAGGCACCCAUCACAGACCAUGACCAAAACAUCACAACUGAUACCACUGACGCCGACGCUAGGAAACGAAGACCUUGCGAGGUGAUGACAUCAGAUCCAUGGAAACCGAGCUAGAUAAUUGGUCCUCCAAAUCACCAAAGGAGACCGAACAAGAAUUGUCACCAGCUUCGUCUCAACUUGACUCGCAGGGGCGGGCAAACCAACCAUACUAGACUACAAGUUGCACAAUCGAGACUUAGCCGCCCUCAGUCGUGCAACCCGUAUCCCAUCUGUUGUGUUUCUUUGUUUUGCAUUUCCUUUCUUGUUCUUUUAGCUUUUGGAACUUGCGAUUUUCUUGUUCGUACGGGUGAUCCCUGUCUGGAUAUUCCGACGUUAGAGAGAAAGAAUUAAGGUGUUUGUUUUUGGUAGGAUCAUCGAUUCAUAUUCAUCUCGUUAGUGAGAACUACACCUCCAAUUAAAAUCCAUAUAAACUUCAUGUUAUUACAAUCUCAUGAUAAUAAGAUGUUUUGAUUUGGUAAACAAAAAACAUCCUAAUCUAAAUAACGAGAUUCUCAAAUUAAAUGUGUGUUAAGAGUUAGACAAUAAAUGGUUAAAAACCUGUUAUAUAUCAAUAUGAACACAAAUUGGUCAACGUACGGCACUAAUUAAGAAAUAUACAUGCCACUCCUACAUCCAUCACCAGAUUAAUAUUUGCCCAACAAACCCCAAAAAAAAGAUGUUAAUAAUUAAACGGGUCGCCGGCGCCGGUGGCUAAUAAUUAAACGUUAGAUUUGGUUUCUUCCACCGCCGUGGAUUCAGCCACCGCCUUUCCUGACAUCGUGCUGGCGGCGGCGGUUGCCAGUUGAUCGUCAAUCUUAGAUUUGGUUUCUUCAAUCUUGACUUUCAAUUCCUUUGCCUUAGCGUGUUCUUCGUAAAGAUGAUCACUACCACUCGUAGUUUCAAUGUAUGCGUCCACCUUUUCUUCCAACUCUUGUACCUAAUACAUUACGUAUAAAUAUAUAUAAAGUAAGCUCCAAGUCAUCACCAUCUUCAUCAAAUCCAGAUGGAACCCGCCGGUCGAACCGGUCAUAAAUUCAGAACCGGCACCAUGGUUUGAAUGUUGAAGUCAAAUUAGUGGUUAACCCGGUUCAUAUCUAUCCACCUAAUAUUGAAUAUUGAAGCUGGCUUCGAGUUAGAAUAUUGAAGCUCAAUUCAGGGCUUGUUACUCAUUUUCAACGCAAUUUGGUGAGCUUAAAGAAUUAAUUAUUUUGCAUAACAAAAAAAAGUAAGCAUACAAUAGUUAUCAAAUCAAGAUUGGACCAGUCGAACUGGUCGAACUGUGAAUCGGCACGACGGUUUGGAUGUAAAAGUCAAAUUGAUGGUUGAUCCGGUUCAACCAUUGAUUUAGACCCGGUUUGGACGUGGCAUUCAAAUCGAUGGUUUGAAUGUGGAAGGGUCAAAGUCAAAACUACAAACCUUAUCGAUGACAUCUCCGGCGAGUUCAGCGCUCCGCUCGGUCUUGUCGGCGACGUCUUCAAUGAACUGAAAUGCGUCCUUUAAGUCACCGGCGGGCAACUUGUUGCCGAUCUCGUCGGCCACCUUCUCAACUUGUUCCGCCACGUCCUCUACAACGUCGGCUACCUUCUCCACCGUAUUCACCACGUCAUCAAAUCUCUCUGCAUCGCGAAAUAAUUUAAAUCAAAAUUUGAGCUUUUUACACGACAAUUACGAACAGCAAUCACAUUCCGGCGAAUCGGCGACCCCAAGGUUUACCUUUGACGUCGGAAAACAGUUGUUUCCUCCAUAAGGGUACUACUAGCGCAAUUGCCAGUCCCGCAAGCCAUAGUUUCCUGCAACCAGGGCAGAUUAAAAAUGUUCCAAAUCCGGUUAAUCCUAACUCGAUUGAUUUAAUUCAAUCCAGUAAUUUGAACCGACUAAAAAAGCCAACAAUCUCAGUCAAAUCUAAAAAACACGUCAACCAUCAAAAUUAAUUAACGACCUGAUGAACAUGCAACUCGAUGACAUCUCCAUCAAUUCGUGACUCAAUGAUAAUGCAAUUUGAUUGAACCAAGAGUCCAUCACCCAAAUAAACCCGCCAUUCAAUUGACAUGUAACAUUAUUAGAUUGUGAUUCAAUGAACUUGCAAAACUCGAUCAAAUCGUAAAUAAUCACUCCAAACCAAUUAAUCGCUGACCCUGAUUAAACUCAAUAAUAAAUUAUUCAACUCGCGACUUUGCCCAUUCCCGUCCGUUUGAAAGCUCUUAUAAGUUCAUUUUUAACAUGAGAUGUAGUACCGUUGUACCAUCACAUAAUUAUGUCAUAACGUUGUACCAUCACAUAAUUAUUAUAACGAGGCCAAUCGAUCAUAUACGAACUCACCACGAACCGGGAGAAGGGUUUGGAGGAAGAGACGGGAAAUUGGGGAUCGGAAGGCCACCAAUGCAAUGAGCACUCGUAUUCCUAAGAUACCUGAGACACACAGAAUUCAACAGAAUGAUCAGAGACACUGGGUAGGAUUUUAACGAUACGGAAUAGAUAACGGUAUACUGUAUAUACAUACAUCUUUGUCUUGGACCCCCUGCAGCUAGUAGAGAAGAGAAUACCAUUGCUUCUUAUGCAGCUAACAUGACGAGGAGGAUACAGAGAAGCAUUGAUAGUCAUCUUCAUCAAACGACGUGGUAUGACUGGUAAGCUAUGGAGUAGUGCAGCAGCAGUGAAGGAGGAGGCCAUUGCUGUGAAACUUUGAGAGCUUCGAUUGAAUGGAUGAUCACAGAAGGAAUGAAAAUGGUUGAUGAGGAGGAGGAGUUGUUGAAUAGUAACAUAGCUGGCUUCUUAUACUGUAAUUAGAAAGAUCAACUGAGAAUUCAAAACAAUCUAAAACUAGGAUUAUUGCGGACAAUUCCACACGCUUUCUCUGCAAUUUGUACGUAGAGAGGUAGAAUUUUCCUUGUUAAGUAUGAGUUGCUGGUUCAUCAGACUUUACAGAAAUGUCAAAGCUCCAUUUUUUUCGUCAGGCACGUGCUCCGUUUAAUCUUCCUCAACGGAACGGGGUAAUUAACGUCGAAUCGGGGCAGUUAGCGAACCAAGCCAUUUAUGAGCCGGCGUUUCGAAUCUGGAUAGCACGUAUGUUUGAGAUUUUGUUUGAUAUCUGGCGAUCGCUCGCUAGAUAGAAAAAAAAUUGGGUGCUAACUUGGCUCGGCCGGUGAACUGGAUUAACCAGGCUCACAAGUCGGUUGGAAUUGGGCUCCUGAAAUUGUUUGAUUAUCGAGCUCACGAGCCAGAUCAAAUUAAUGGCUCAUGUAACUAGCAAGCUGACUCGUGAGAUGACUGGUGAGAUCCUAUUUGAUAUCUGACAAUCGCCGGCUAGAUAGAAAAAGAACUUAGGAGUAAGCCACGACCAUGGCUUGACCCGGCAGGUGAGCUCGAUUAAUCAAUUACACGAGCGGGCUGAAAUCGAUCUCAUGAAAUGACUUAAUUAUUGAGCUCAUAACUGAUUCAAAUUCGAAUCAUGUAAUGACUCGAUUAUGAAGCUAGCGGGACCUAUUCAGAUUUUAUACUUGAAUUUUCGUAGUGGGAAAAUCAAGGUAAUUAACAUUUUCGAUCACUUGCCUAUUCAGAUUAUACAAUCUCAUCACAAACCUAUUUUUUUAUAACCCAUCCAUAACUAUAUUAAAAUAUAACAACAUAGUCAUUCCGACCAUUAUGUUUUUUAUUUUUUUCCGUUAAGAGUUGACAAAUGACAACAUCCCAGUCACCCAUCCCAAUUAAUAAAAAUAAUAAAAAAUUAUUUUUUAUUUAUAUAUUAUUAUUUUCUUACAUAUGCUACCAAUUCCCAAAUGGAAGAGAUAGCGAAAUGCAAAAUAAGUAUUUUUUCGAUAAAUCAAAAUAAGUAUUCGAAGAAGCUAGCUAAAUUAAGAAAUAUUGAAAAUUAUAUCGUUUUAGUGAAAGAGUUGGACGUCUUUGGUCCAUUUUUAUAAUUUGUGUUCGAAAUGAUCUAAUUUCUUUAUUUCGUACUAAUUUGUGCCUAUCGAAAUAAAAAUCCCAAACACUCAUUUCAGGCACGUGCUUCAUUAAUCGUUAAUCACUUUCGUAACUACAUGGAUUAUCUCAUUAAAAAAACAAAUCAAAUACAUACAUUAGUGAAAAAGAACAACUGAAAAAACAGAGAGAAUGAAACAGAGAUUAAAUCAACUUGGUUUCCCUCGCCGUCGCCGCCGCCAAUCACAGAGCGAUUCCGUUGUCGUCAUGAACUUUGGCGUCGGAGCUAACGGAGUCGGUCUUAUUAUUCAACCCCCAGAAAGGGAAACAAGCAGCAGCAGCAGCAGAAGCAUAGUUUGAUCCGUCGUCUUUCUCAUCUUUCUUCUUCUGGGUUUUCUUCAUCUCCUCCUCGCGCCGUUUGACCUUGUCCUUGUAAAUCUUCGCCAUCACGUAAGCUUCCGCAAGGCCGUUCCCUGACAAUCCCAUACUCGCCAUUAACUCUUCUGAUUUCUGAAUACGAAGAAGCUUCAGAUGAAAAAAUCUUAUCGAAAGAUCAGGGGUUUAAAGUAAAGGCGCGAGUUUUUGUGAAGAAGAAAACCGGAGGGUUUUUGUGGAAUUUAUAGGCAAAAUAUGAAUACGCUCUUGUUCCCUUUUCCAUUACUUUUUUAAUAAGUCAACCCAAUUGCCCAUUC
rnacentral:lncRNA from 1 species